UUCAAAGUAUGACGGGAUGCAUAAAUACAGUCAGUGACUGUCACGCAAAAUAGAUAUAACAAAAACUGGCUUAACAGUUAAAGUAAUAAUAAUAAAUAAAAUAAUAGUGCGGUUCAAAGUAUGACGGGAUACAUAAGUACAGAGGCACGUCAAAUGUAUAUCACAAAAACAGUGGGUUAACAGUAAAAGUAAUAUUAAUAAAUAAAAUAAUUUUGUCAUUCAAGGUAUGACAAGAUACAUAGGUACAGAGUCACAUCAUGAAAUAAUUUUGUCGUUCAAAGUAUGAUGGGAUACAUCAGCACAGAGUUACGUCAAAAGGAUAUCUAAAAAA
rnacentral:lncRNA from 1 species